UACGUAGGGGGCAAGCGUUGUUCGGAUUCAUUGGGCGUAAAGGGUGCGUAGGCGGCGCGGUAAGUCGGGUGUGAAAUCUCGGAGCUUAACUCCGAGACUGCAUUCGAUACUGCCGUGCUUGAGGACUGGAGAGGAGACUGGAAUUUACGGUGUAGCGGUGAAAUGCGUAGAUAUCGUAAGGAAGACCAGUGGCGAAGGCGGGUCUCUGGACAGUUCCUGACGCUGAGGCACGAAGGUCAGGGGAGCAAACGGG
rnacentral:rRNA from 1 species